CCCGCUCAGAAACUCAAAGGAAUUGACGGGGCCGCACAAGCGGUGGAGCAUUGUGGUUUAAUUCGAUGAUACGCGAGGAACCUUACCUGGGCUCAAAUGUAUGUUGACGUAUUCUGAAAGGGAUACUUCUUCGGACAAUAUACAAGGUGCUGCAUGGUUGUCGUCAGCUCGUGCCGUGAGGUGUCGGGUUAAGUCCCAUAACGAGCGCAACCCCUAUCAUUAGUUGCCAUCAGGUCAAGCUGGGGACUCUAAUGAAACUGCCUACGCAAGUAGUGAGGAAGGUGGGGAUGACGUCAAGUCAUCAUGGCCCUUACGGCCUGGGCUACACACGUGCUACAAUGGUCGGUACAAAGGGUUGCCAAGCCGCGAGGUGGAGCUAAUCCCAUAAAACCGAUCGUAGUCCGGAUCGCAGUCUGCAACUCGACUGCGUGAAGUCGGAAUCGCUAGUAAUCGUGAAAUCAGAAUGUCACGGUGAAUACGUUCCCGGGCCUU
rnacentral:rRNA from 1 species